ACUUAAAUAGCUUAAAAUAAAGAGCAUAAUAUUGAAGAUAUUGAGAUGAUAAAUUAUCUUUAAGUA
rnacentral:tRNA from 1 species